AUUACUUUGGCAGAAUAAUGCACCAGGUUUAGAACCUGGUUAUAUAAGGCUACCUUAUAAGUAAAA
rnacentral:tRNA from 1 species